AGUUGUAGAAUCACUGGUGAAUAAGGGGUGGGCAAGUUCUGGUGUCAGCCGCCGCGGUAAAACCAGCACCUCGAGUGGUCAGGAGGUUUAUUGGGCCUAAAGCAUCCGUAGCCGGUUGCAUAAGUUUUCGGUUAAAUCUAUGCGCUUAACGUAUAGGCCGCCGAAAAUACUGUGCAGCUAGGGAGUGGGAGAGGUACACGGUACUCGAUAGGAAGGGGUAAAAUCCUUUGAUCUAUUGAUGACCACCUGUGGCGAAGGCGGUGUACCAGAACACGUUCGACGGUGAGGGAUGAAAGCUGGGGGAGCAAACCGGAUUAGAUACCCGGGUAGUCCCAGCUGUAAACGAUGCAGACUCGGUGAUGCAUUGGCUUGUGGCCAAUGCAGUGCCGCAGGGAAGCCGUUAAGUCUGCCGCCUGGGAAGUACGUACGCAAGUAUGAAACUUAAAGGAAUUGGCGGGGGAGCACCACAAGGGGUGAAGCCUGCGGUUCAAUUGGAGUCAACGCCAGAAAUCUUACCUGGGGAGACAGCAGAAUGAAGGUCAAGCUGAAGACUUUACCAGACACGCUGAGAGGUGGUGCAUGGCCGUCGCCAGCUCGUGCCGUGAGAUGUCCUGUUAAGUCAGGUAACGAGCGAGACCCCUGCGUCUAGUUGCUACCAUUACUCUCUGGAGCAGUGGAGCGAAUUAGACGGACCGCCACAGUUAAUGUGGAGGAAGGAAGGGGCCACGGCAGGUCAGUAUGCCCCGAAACCCUAGGGCUACACGCGGGCUGCAAUGGUAUUGACAAUGUGUUCCGAAUCCGAAAGGAGGAGGCAAUCAUCAAACAUAUCUCAGUUAUGACUGAGGGC
rnacentral:rRNA from 1 species